rnacentral:rRNA from 1 species
CCUACGGGUGGCAGCAGUAGGGAAUUUUCGGCAAUGGGGGGAACCCUGACCGAGCAACGCCGCGUGAACGAAGAAGUUAUUCGUAAUGUAAAGUUCUUUUAACAGGGAAGAAAGAGAAAUUUGACGGUACCUGAAGAAUAAGCUCCGGCUAACUACGUGCCAGCAGGCGCGGUAAUACGUAGGGAGCGAGCGUUAUCCGGAAUUAUUGGGCGUAAAGGGUGCGUAGAUGGCAUAGUAAGUCUUUUGUAAAAAAGGUGGGCUCAACCCGGUAGGGCAAAAGGUACUGGAAAGCUAGAGUGUGAGAAAGGCAAGUGGAACUACAGGUGUAGCGGUGAAAUGCGUAGAUAUAUGUAAGAACACCAGUGGCGAAGGCGGCAUGCUGGGUCGAUACUGACGUUGAGGCACGAAGGCGUGGGGAGCGAACAGGAUUAGAUACCCGAGUAGUC